AGUUCAGAUUGCAGGCUGAAACUCGCCUGCAUGAAGUCGGAAUUGCUAGUAAUCGCAGAUCAGCAUGCUGCGGUGAAUACGUUCCCGGGCCUUGUACACACCGCCCGUCACACCAUGGGAGUCGGUAACACCCGAAGCCUGUAGUCUAACCGCAAGGAGGACGCAGUCAAAGGUGGGAUUGAUGACUGGGGUGAAGUCGUAACAAGGUAAC
rnacentral:rRNA from 1 species